AGUGAUGCUUAAUGGACUUGACAAUCAAGUGGAGUUGCAACAUGAACAACUCCUACAAGUUAGGCAAUGAAAAAGCUGUGAGCACAAGCCUUGAUGCUCAGAGCCCCCAACAGAUCCUGGAUCACACUUCACCUUCCAGGCUGGGUGCUCUCUCUUGUUGCACAAGGAUUUCCUGAAGGAUUGGUCUCCAGGCUCCAUACUGAAAAGCUGCUCCCAACAUUGUUUUGGCUGUUUGUUGCUUCCUGUCUUUCAGGACAG